GUCACCUCCCUUGCUCAGAAGCGAAGCAUUGAGUUGUUGAAAUGUGGAACGUUUAUUGAUGGCACUGUUCCAAGCGUCAGGUCGGGGAAAUACCACCCUGGUGACUUUCUUGACGAGGGGUCGCUCCCUGUAAGGAUUCGGGCAGUUCUCUGCCGUUAGUGUGGAACAAGCAUGAAGAAGCUUUUUGGUGAAGCGGGCCACAUGAAAAAUAACUCAUCGUAAUGCAAGCCAUUCAGAAAGCCCUGCGGGCCUCAAGUUGUUCUCGUUGGUGUAGAAGUAGUCGUCUGAGAUUGCAAUAUACGCAAGGAUUCUCUGGAGACUUGGCUGGUUGGCGGAAAUUAUGGCCAAACUUUCUCCGUUUCUACUUAUGUACGCUGUUUAACGAACGAUUGCCGUUUCCUCUCCCCCACCAUCUUUUAGCAUAUUCUGGUAUUACAUCCCUUCGUCAGAACAUUUAUAAGGGCUCACAAACUGGAUUUUGGCCUUAAGUUCACUUAUACGUAAACUUAUUAAAUGAUGGAAGAGUUAUUUCCCUUGUAACACCA
rnacentral:lncRNA from 1 species